UCAAGCGUUUAAGGGCGUGUGGCGGAUGCCUUGGCACUGAAAGCCGAAGAAGGACGUGAUAUACUGCGAUAAGUUUCGGGGAGCUGUAUGUAAGUUUUGAUCCGAAAAUUUCCGAAUGGGGAAACCCACCACUUUAUGUGGUACUUUAAACUGAAUUCAUAAGUUUAAAGAGACAACCUGGAGAACUGAAACAUCUAAGUAACCAGAGGAAAAGAAAUCAAUUGAGAUUCCGUUAGUAGUGGCGAGCGAAACCGGAUUAGGCCAGCAGUUUUGAUAAAAAAAUUUGAAUAGUUUGGAAAAGCUAACCACAGAGGGUGAUAGUCCCGUAUAAGUAAUGUUUAUUAAAACUCAUGAGUAAAGCGGGACACGUGAAAUCCUGCUCGAAUAUAGGGGGACCACCCUCUAAGCCUAAAUACUCUUCAGUGACCGAUAGUGAACUAGUACCGUGAGGGAAAGGUGAAAAGAACCCCUAUUAGGGGAGUGAAAUAGAACCUGAAACCGCAUGCCUACAAUCAGUCGAAGCUCUUUUUAGAGUGACGGCGUACCUUUUGUAUAAUGGGUCAGUGACUUAAUUUAUUUAGCAAGCUUAAGCCAUCUAGGUGUAGGCGCAGCGAAAGCAAGUCUUAAUAGGGCGAAUAGUUAAAUGAAUUAGACCCGAAAACGAAUGAGCUUACCAUGAGCAGGUUGAAAGCAAGGUAACACUUGCCGGAGGACCGAACCAGUUGACGUUGAAAAGUCUUUGGAUGACUUGUGGUAAGGGGUGAAAGGCCAACCAAAUUCGUAGAUAGCUGGUUUUCCGCGAAAACUAUUUAGGUAGUGCGUUGAGUAAAUAGAUGUUUAGAGGUAGAGCACUAAAUGGGCUAGGGGGAAGAGAUUCUUACCAAACCUAAUAAAACUCCGAAUGCUAAACAUUGUUCCUCAGCAGACAGACUGUGGGUGCUAAGGUCCAUGGUCGAGAGGGAAAGAGCCCAGACCACCAGAUAAGGUCCCAAAAUUAUGAUUAAGUGUGAAAGGAUGUGGAAAUUCCUUAACAGCCGGGAGGUUGGCUUAGAAGCAGCCAUCCUUUAAAGAUAGCGUAACAGCUCACCGGUCUAAUAGAGUUUCUGCGCCGAAGAUGUAACGGGGCUAAAAUCAUAUACCGAAUCUGUGGAUUUAUAAUUUUUUCGAAAAUUAUAGCUGGUAGCGGAACGUUCUGUAAGCCUGUGAAGGGAUACCUGUGAAGGAUCCUGGAGGUAUCAGAAGUGCGAAUGCUGACAUAAGUAACGAUAAAAGAAGUGAAAAACUUCUUCGCCGAAAAUCCAAGGGUUUCUGCGCAAGGUUAAUCCGCGCAGAGUUAGUCGGCACCUAAGGCGAGGGCGAAAGCCGUAGUCGAUGGAAAUAAGGUUAAUAUUCCUUAACCUGAUGGUAGUGACGGAUCUUGUAAGUUGUAAAUUCUUAAUGGAUUGAAUUUGCCGCGAAAAGGUUCCAAGAAAUAGCUCCAUCAUAAGACCGUACCCUAAACCGACACAGGUGGAUUAAUAGAGUAUAUUUAGGCGCUUGAGAGAAUGAUGUUGAAGGAACUCGGCAAAAUGCUUCCGUAACUUCGGAAUAAGGAAGACCUUUUUUUAGGCAACUAAUCAAAGGUGGCACAAGCUAGGGAGAAGCGACUGUUUAUCAAAAACACAGGGCUCUGCUAACACGUAAGUGGAUGUAUAGGGUCUGACGCCUGCCCGGUGCUGGAAGGUUAAUGCGAUGGGUGCAAGCUCAUUUCUGAAGCCCCAGUAAACGGCGGCCGUAACUAUAACGGUCCUAAGGUAGCGAAAUUCCUUGUCGGGUAAGUUCCGACCUGCAUGAAUGGCGUAACGAUUUCUCCGCUGUCUCCAACAUCAACUCAGUGAAAUUGAAUUCUCCGUGAAGAUGCGGAGUUCGCGUAGUUAGACGGAAAGACCCCGUGCACCUUUACUGCAACUUUACAUUGGUGUUAGGAAAAACAUAUUUAGCAUAGGAGGGAGACAUGAAGCAAGA
rnacentral:rRNA from 1 species